AGCCAUGAGGUGAGCACAAAGCGAACUAUUUUUUCGCCUUUUACUAAAGAACACCGUGUGCUCUCCUCGCCACGUGGCAUACGCCUAUUUUUAGAGGGUUCCUAACUUCCUACCU
rfam:Arabis alpina cultivar Pajares Aa.chr5_contig_2799, whole genome shotgun sequence.